GGGGGGGGUUCCUUCCGAGCGCUGCGGUUCCGGCAAGGUUACCGAGCCUAGCGGACAGUUUUGAAGGUCUGCACUUGAGAAUUCAUCUCCUUUCCUGCUCUGCCCAGUGGGCCGAACCCUGGAGGAAAUUUCAUGGCUGCAGGCUGAAAAAUUGAGAACCUGUAACCCGCAUUUUUACACUUCAGAACGGAGCGCUUUACACCCACUAGGCAACACGUUAUAUUUAACUUGCAUUAUGUAUAGUCCUACUCACCUGAAAAUACACAUGAUUUUCAUUGUGAA